UGGGGAAUAUUGGUCAAUGGGCGGGAGCCUGAACCAGCCAAGCCGCGUGAGGGAAGAAGGCCCUAUGGGUCGUAAACCUCUUUUGUCAGGGAACAAAAGCGAGUAUGUAUACUGGUCUGAGUGUACCUGAAGAAAAAGCAUCGGCUAACUCCGUGCCAGCAGCCGCGGUAAUACGGAGGAUGCGAGCGUUAUCCGGAUUUAUUGGGUUUAAAGGGUGCGUAGGCGGCGGUGCAAGUCAGCGGUAAAAGCCCGGGGCUCAACCCCGGCGAGCCGCUGAAACUGCAGUGCUAGAGAAGGCGAGAGGUACGCGGAAUGCGCAGUGUAGCGGUGAAAUGCUUAGAUAUUGCGCAGAACUCCGAUUGCGAAGGCAGCGUACUGGCGCCUGACUGACGCUGAGGCACGAAAGCGUGGGGAUCGAACAGGAUUAGAUACC
rnacentral:rRNA from 1 species